CCUACGGGAGGCAGCAGUAGGGAAUCUUCGUCAAUGGGCGCAAGCCUGAACGAGCAAUGCCGCGUGAACGAGGAAGGUCUUCGGAUCGUAAAGUUCUGUUGAAGGGGAAAAAGAGCGGAGAGAGGAAAUGCUUUCUGAUUGAUAUUACCCUUCGAGGAAGUCACGGCUAACUACGUGCCAGCAGCCGCGGUAAUACGUAGGUGGCGAGCGUUAUCCGGAAUGAUUGGGCGUAAGGGGUGCGUAGGCGGCCUGCUAAGUCUGGAGUGAAAGGUACCGGCUCAACCGGUACAGGCUCUGGAAACUGGCGGGCUAGGGAGAAGGAGAGGGCGGUGGAAAUCCAUGUGUAGCGGUAAAAUG
rnacentral:rRNA from 1 species